rnacentral:rRNA from 5 species
GCAGCAGUGGGGAAUAUUGCACAAUGGGCGCAAGCCUGAUGCAGCCAUGCCGCGUGUAGAAGAAGGCCUUCGGGUUGUAAAGUACUUUCAGCGGGGAGGAAAGGCGUUGAGGUUAAUAACCCUUACACAAUUGACGUUACCCGCAGAAAAGCACCCGGCAAUCGCGCGC